UGGCGGACGGGUGAGUAACGCGUGGAUAACCUGCCCCAUACCGGGGGAUAACAGUCGGAAACGGCUGCUAAUACCGCAUAAGCGCACGGGAAUGCAUGUUUCUGUGUGAAAAACUCCGGUGGUAUGGGAUGGAUCCGCGUCUGAUUAGCUGGUUGGCGGGGUAGAGGCCCACCAAGGCGACGAUCAGUAGCCGACCUGAGAGGGUGGCCGGCCACAUUGGGACUGAGACACGGCCCAGACUCCUACGGAAGGCAGCAG
rnacentral:rRNA from 1 species